rnacentral:antisense_RNA from 12 species
UAUAAAUACGCUCCUUUGCGUUUUGUGUAAUAAGCAUAAAGAAAAACUUUUGGUCGGGAAUUUCUUUAUGCUUUUAUUGUACCA